GCGGCAAUAGCUCAGUGGUAGGGCCCCCGCUUCGUAUGCAGGGAGACCUGGGUUCGAUUUCAGGCUGCAGCC
rnacentral:tRNA from 1 species